AUGGCUGAUCGGCAUGUUCUAACAUCAUGGGUGUCAUACUGCCUCAUACAGCGCGCUAAAGGGAAGCUGAAAAACUCGAACAUGAACUACAUGGAAUUUUUCACGAAAGAAUCAAAAACUGUGUCAAGAGUAAUUGACGAGUACUUCGCAAAAGAUAAGGCAUUUUUCCCUCUGAAUGUGAACAAGAAUCAUUGGAUAACCAUUGUCAUGCACACGAAGAAGAAAGAGUUUCAAGUUCUAAAUUCUACUGGUAAAAUAAGCAAGGCAGUUCAUGCGAAGAUUGCUUUGAUGAGGGCAGAAAUUGCUGUAGAUACAAAUCAGGUCAACUCUGCUAUAGGUACACAUCAUCCAGAUGUGUCUAAAUGGCCAAUAAAGGAGUACAAAAUGCCGAGACAAAGUGACGGUGUCUUGCGGACUUUUCGUGAUGAAAUGCAUCGAACUCUGGGACGGGGAUGCCUUCAGACAUGA
rnacentral:rRNA from 1 species